UUUCCGUGCUCUUUCUUCUUCAUCAGUUUCCCGCCCAAGUUUGUUCCAGCGAAUUGGUUAGGGGAGUCCUCAGGCCUCAUCCAUAGUCCAUAGAGAUUCUUUUUCAAUCUGAAUUCCUUUAAUAUAUCUUUCAUUUCCUUUUUGAUCCAUUUUAUCUCCAAUUCUUCUCUUGCUGUGAUCGUAAUCGCUCCGGAAAAUUCCGCUUUCCGAUUCCGAAAUUCUAAUUCCUUUAGAUUUAGUGUGCGAUCGACGUUCUCGAUCACCUAAUGCCUCCAUUGCUGCCAGGAGUUUAGAGUUUCGGUCCUUGGCUUUACCAUGGAGGGAUCUUCAGCGGAGGAUACCGAAGGUCCAGAGUCAUGGAAGGCCGGAGAGUUAGAUGAGGCCGUGAGACAGUGGAAUUCCAUAUUAGAGGUAUUAAAUAUUCUGUCGACGGCGCUUCUCUCUCAGAUCGUUCUAUUCCUGCUGAAAUGUUUGAAGAUUCUAUCAGUCAGGUCGAUCGGUUCCUAGCGUAGCCUUUCAGAAUCCUUAAGAGUUUAGAGUUUCGGUCUUUUGCUUUACCGUGGAGGGCUCUGCAGCGGAGGAUAUCGAAGAUCCUGAAUCAUGGAAGGUCGCAGAGUUUGAUGAGGCCGUGAGACAAUGGAAUUCCAUAUUAGAGGUAUUAAAUAUUCUGUCGACGGUGCUUCUCUCUCAGAUCGUUCGAUUCCUGCUAAAAUGUUUGAAGAUUCUAUCAGUCAGGUUGAUCGGUUCCUACGGAGCCUUUCGGAAUCCUUAAAUUGUAAACUGCGCCACCAGCAGGCAGAGCUCGCCAUUCCCUUUUGUGCUUAUGACGUCGAAUGAGCUUAUAGAAGCAUCCGUCGUCAAGGCAAGUUAUGUGCAAAGUCUUCGACGAAGGGUCCAUUCGUGAGCAUGGAAUAUCUUCCUCGUCACUGUUCGAGUUUAUUGAAAUGCUUUGCUCAUUCGAGUGUCAACGUCGUAAGGUACGAAUUCCUUUUACCACCGUUUGGAGUUUAUUGCAUGUGUCCUUGUAUUGUUUAUACACAUCUUCCUUUUCUUAUGAUUUAAAAAAUUAGAUUACAUUAAAAAAUUGAGCGUAAUUAGCCCCCCUAUUUUGUAGAAAGGAUUAUUUCUAAGAUGUAUUCAUCUUGAGUCAAUAGAACUAUCUUAGGAAAUUACAUUUGAUGGUAGAAGAGGUAACUUUAUUUUAUUUUAUUCUUUUCAAAUUUCAUAAACUUGAUCUUUUUUCCUACUCAUGAUUUUUUUAUUAUUUAUUUCAAAUUAGAUUUUGCCGUGUAUAAACUUCUAAAUUUAUUUUCAAUAAAUGAUCUGUGGUGUCUCGACAACAAUUUGAUACUAUGCAGUAACUAAAAUGCU